GAAUUUAUAAAUGAAUCUCAAGGAAAUGCACUGAACAGUAUUUAUGUGGAGCGUUUAGCGUCGAAUAUUGAAACACUCAACAUCCAACUGGAAGAAAAGUUGAACUUGUUUUCUGAUUUUGAGAGAACUGAAAAGUUGCCGUUAGUGAAUGCCAUUGUUAAGUUGUCAUCCUUAAAAAAACUUGAAAAUUUUGAAUCACUUUUUCAAUCUAUUAAAAAUGAAAAGUCUC